UCUGCUAUGAUUCAUAUCAUCAGUCAAGGAAUCCUUUAAUUUGAAGAAAAACUUCUGAUUUAGCUUCCACGGAUUUCUAGCAAGUAGUUGCUUCAAUUUCAGUUCAGCAUAUUUGGGGUUGAUGGAUUCAUGCUAAGGAAUUGCUUUACUUCAAGGUCAUUUCUUCUGUUCCUUGACUGCAUAGAUUUAGUUAUCAUAUUAUGCAUGGUGCAUUGAUGGAGAACAAAACAGUACUCAGGCCUAAUAUUGCUUUCAUUUUCUUACGACUACUUUCAUUGAGAUGAAAAGAUAAAGGAAUGCAAGUAAAAGUUUUAGUUUAGUAGAUGAGUGGUUUAAUGAAUGCUACAAUACUCAGGUUUCACUAAAAGGGAGCCCACAUAUCUCUCACAAAAUAGUACAAUCUCAAGAGCUAUCAACAAAUUUCCCCCUUUCUCUCUUUAUGGGGACAACCAUUCUACUAAAAGCAAUUUGUGUUCUUUGUUCUCUGUUUUAUAGAUGGCUAGCUGCCAUGGAAGCAAUCAUUCUACUGAAAGUAAUUUUUACAUUUUCUUCUCUGUUGUACAACUGUUCCUUUUCUUUCAUGUAAAAAAUAACAUUAUAAGCAGAAGGUGAAUAUAUGUAAUCCCCAGAAACUGGUAUCUUCAUUGUAAAGGUGUAUGAAUUUUGUGCUUUUUAAAUGGAAAGGAUAUUAUGUAAUUUCAUUUAAGAAGUAAGGUUCUACCUUUGCU